AAGGGAGAUACCGAAAACCCUUAAUUAGAGUAGGUA
rfam:Belliella pelovolcani strain DSM 46698 genome assembly, contig: Ga0111625_106